rnacentral:tRNA from 1 species
GGGAGCGGUUGGGUGGCUGGUGCCCCCUCCGGCCUUCAAAGCCGAGCAGGACCCGCGUGCCGGGUCCGGUGGGUUCGAUUCCCACACGCUCCCGCCA